GAAUGAGAUUAGUGCCCUUAUAACAGAGACCCCAGAGAGAUCCCUUACUCCUUCCACCAUGAGAGGACACAAUGAAAAGAUGGCAGUCUGUGAACUAGGAAGUGGGCCCUCUGCAGACACCAAAUCUACUGGCACCUGGAUCUUGAACUUCCAAGCCUCCGAAACUUUGUAGGUCCUUCUGGUUAUGCCAUGUGGGAUGCCGCCUCAGCGUAGCUGGACGAGCAGUGCCGUGUCCACGCCCAGGAUCUGAACCGGUGAAACCCUGGGCCGCCAAGGGGGAGCACAAGAACAUAACCACUCCACGACGGAGCCGAUCCCAGGAACUUCUCUUUAAAGCACAGGCAUUUAUGAUGCUCACAUUAAGUUUUAGGCUAAAUAAAAUAUUUGUUCUCUGCAAA
rnacentral:lncRNA from 1 species